rnacentral:lncRNA from 1 species
AUACAUCCCACCCAGAGAAACGAUCUCGCCUCAGAUGAUACUUGUCAUCUGUGAGACCACCCCUUUAGCUAGAGUUAACCACUUGAGCAGGUUUCAAUUUUGUCUCUGAAAGUAGGAAGCUAUCAGUCUCCCUACAUGACUCGUUCCACCCUUUGUGGAUACUUCUACCUGUAGAAAAAAAGGUUGGCAAACUUGGUGGCAUGGUGAGGACAAAGGGCAUUUUGAAAGAACCAGUGACUGAGGUCAGAGUGGGGAGCUGGUGUUAGCUGUGGGAUUCACUGCAGCGUCCUACCACAAAGGCAAAGAAGAUGAAAAUGCAGCGUGCAGUGCUGGGCUUGAUUCCCAAGUCGCAGUCGGGCUCCCGCUAUGGGUAGGAGGCUUUACACUCAGCCUGGGUCAGCACCGGAGCAUCCAGGCACUUCAGCUCGUCUGGGUAGUCAGCUGUGAGGAUCAGGAAGAGAUCAAAGAAAGUAGAAAUGUGGGUGAGGCCAGAGAAGGAGACAAUAAUCUGGGAUGGAACAUUGAAGAGGAACACUGCCUCUGGAGAGGACUCCAAAACAUGCAAGACAUUGUGAUUUUGACCUUGUUGGAUGCUGCACCUAAAGGUGGAUGGAAGAGGAAGAGUCUUGGGGGCUACCAUCCUGGCUGGAGAAGCUGGCACGAGGCUCCCUCUUGUGGAUGCAGCAAGGACUGUUAAAAAUCUCCCAAGGCAGAGACUUUUAGGCCUACAUGUACUUAGCCUCCUCUUCCCACCUCCUGUUCAUCUCUGUUUCCAAUGUUCCACUGCCAUCACUGCCAGGAAGUUCUGCAGAGAAGAAUGAAGAAGAACCGUAUGAUCCUAAACAUGUUCUUUGAAGAUAUUAUCAACCCACCAUUGGCCUUAUUUACUGGAAUGUUUUUAUAACCUUUAUUUGACACCUCUUCCCAUCAUUUAAAAUAAAUCUGGUGCUUCCCUGAAUAA